UUCAAGCGGGUUUCGGUUAAAGUUUUCCCCAAGAGGGAAAAGUUGGGCGAGAGAUGAGCGCGCCACGUCCGUGCGCUGCCGAUUUUUGGAG
rnacentral:tRNA from 1 species